UACAGAGGAUGCAAGCGUUAUCCGGAAUGAUUGGGCGUAAAGCGUCUGUAGGUGGCUUUUUAAGUCCGCCGUCAAAUCCCAGGGCUCAACUCUGGACAGGCGGUGGAAACUACCAAGCUGGAGUACGGUAGGGGCAGAGGAAUUUCCGGUGGAGCGGUGAAAUGCGCAGAUAUCGGGAGGAACACCGGUGGCGAAGGCGGUUCUCUGGGCCUUACCUGACGCUGAGGAGCGAAAGCGUGGGGAGCGAACAGG
rnacentral:rRNA from 1 species